rnacentral:lncRNA from 1 species
UAAAUCAAGACUACCGACACGUCGUUUGUUCAUUUGAAUUCGGGCUUUCGUCGUUACAACAUGAUGAUUGUGGAUAACUUGGGUCGCAUUUCAUUCCGACUAUGCUACUGGCUUGUCCCUCUGUCCAUGAGGCUGGAUCUGGAGGACAAUUCAUGAUGGGUUAAUCCUCCAUUGCACGAGCAGUUGCAUGUGCCACCUAAUCAGUAAUUCAUGGUGCUGGCUUGAUGGUGUUUUAAGGUGACUGGUUUGGAAACACAUUGGAUCACUUCACUGUCAAUCAGACUGGUGUCAUGUUGUCUAAUGAAAGCUGUGCCUUCUAUAUAUCAAAGGUAGGCUGAAAGAGGAACUUGGUAGUAAAGCUCCAGUUUUUCAUCAGGUUUGUGGUGAAGGUGAGAUAGCAAAUUGCAGCCCAGUAGACUACCAAUUGAGGCCGCAGGGAUAUCAAAUGCUGUGUAGAACCUAAUUCUUCAGGCAUUAGAGGUGCUUUUGUAUCAGCAGUUGAUGGUCGAAUUGGGACGUUAUUAACGCGAUGUCAACAUAUGCGACGUCUUUUACUGUGGAAUUAUGGUGUUCUUGGUGUGGCCGGGUUUCCAGCUGGAAUUUUUCGUUCGUUUCUUCGCUGUUGCCGUUAUACGGGGUUAGAUCUAUUGGCGUGGAAUUUUCGGAAUUGAUUGGAUCACUAAGUUUAGCUGCCAUUCUUCGUUCUGCUUAUGUUAAGAAUUUGUGGGCGAUGACCUUUUCUUGGGUUGGAACACCCUGCAUUCGCUGAAGUUGGGGAUCGUUCAUUUCUACAAUUUCCGCCCGACUUGUGUCUUGAUCCCUGGUGAAAUUUGCAGUGGGCUUGCCGUUGAGAGAUGGUUUUGUGUCAGCGAUUAUUUCUAAUUGGGACAAUAUUGGCGCGGCGUUAGCAUAUUCGAUGUCUUCUACUAUGGGAUUAUGGGUGCUUUUGGUGUGGUCGGAUUGCUAGCUGGGAUCUUUUCUUCGCUGGUUUUACUGUAAGAUAGGGUAAUGGAUGAUCUAGUAUUGUGGCUGUUCUGCGCUCUACAGGAACUGUUGGUGGUGCGUCUUUCUUGUGUUGUUAAGCGAAAGGUAUUCGCUGUGAUUGUGUCUUGAUUCUUGGUAAAAAUUGCAGUUCGUUGCUGUGAUUUCGCGGCUGUGAGGUGAUUCUGUCUCGGUAAUUAUGGAUGAGUUGUUGGAUAUCGUCGUGGUGAAACCAGCUUCAACGUCUUAUACUAUCGGAUUAUGGGGGCUCUUGGUAUGGCCGGUUUUCCAGCUGGAAUUUCUUCUUCGAUUCUUCGCUGGCGGUACUGUUACAUACGGCUAUACUUGAGAUUGGUUAGUGAAACCCAAUGGAUGAUCCAGUUUUAUGGCCGUUCUGCGCUAUAUAAGUUAGGAAAUAAAUUAUGGCUUAAUUGUUGUAGUGUUUGAGACAGUUUUCUGCGAGGUUUCUUAAUGCUAGAGGAUUUUAUACAAUAAAAGAGUUUUCUUUUUA